rnacentral:piRNA from 1 species
UACCAAGGCUUCAAGAAUCAUACACAUCUCU